UACAACGAUUACUAGCCUAUACAAGGACUUAUGUUUAAUAACACUAAUAUUACAGUAUAGACCGAUCUGAUCAAUGGUCCGGCGUAAUGCUUUUGAAGAAUCGUUUCCCACUCGACGUUUGAAACAUGAGAACUGAAUAACGGAAUUAAGACGUCAAUAGACCUCAUAAUUAGGCUAACUAAUCGGCUUUUCAUCAUAUAGCCAUUACAGCACGUUCGUUCCAAUUCGUUUUCAACUGUAUUUUUUUAUAAGAUUUUAUAUGCAGACUUUACAGUUAUAUAUUUGUAACCCAUUCCCUAAUCCCUGAUAUGAUCGCGAAUUCUACGCCAAGAUCGAAACACUAACAUGCAAACUUAUUGUCGUAUAUACGCAUGUAUAAAUGAAGAAACAUCUCAAAAUACUG